UGAUACUGGAAAAACUGAAACAAAGAAUAGUAGCAAUCAAAGCAAAACUGGAAGAAUAUGACAAUAGAACAAAACAAUUCAGGCAAAACAGAUCGUUUGAAGCAAAUCAGAAGAAACUGUUUCAGGAACUAGAUGGGCAAUUACAUGUAACAAUGACACCAGAUCCAGAGGAAAGCAGAGCAUUCUGGAGAGGGAUCUGGGACCUACCUGUAGAGCAUAAUGAUGAAGCGGAGUGGCUGCGUGAAAUCCAGGAUAGGUUAAGAAAUAUAGAA